GGCCCGAUUCCACCCUUUGCCUACCUUACCUCUGUUGCUUCGGCGCCGCGGUGGCUCACGCCGCCGCCCGCCGGAGGACCAUCAAACUCCAGUCAGUGAACGUCGCAAUCUGAAAACAAGUUUAAUAAACUAAAACUUUCAACAACGGAUCUCUUGGUUCUGGCAUCGAUGAAGAACGCAGCGAAAUGCGAUAAGUAAUGUGAAUUGCAGAAUUCAGUGAAUCAUCGAAUCUUUGAACGCACAUUGCGCCCUUUGGUAUUCCGAAGGGCAUGCCUGUUCGAGCGUCAUUACAACCCUCAAGCUCUGCUUGGUAUUGGGCACCGUCCGCCUCCGCGGACGCGCCUCGAAGACCUCGGCGGCGGCGUCAAGCCCUCAAGCGUAGUAGAAUCUAUCUCGCUUUGGAGCGCUGGGCGUCGCCCGCCGGACGAACCUUCUGAACCAUUUCUCAAGGUUGACCUCGGA
rnacentral:rRNA from 1 species